rnacentral:rRNA from 1 species
AGAGUUUUGAUCCUGGCUCAGGAUGAACGCUAGCGGGCAGGCUUAACACAUGCAAGUCGAGGGGCAUCGGGAGGGAAGCUUUGCUUUCCUUGCCGGCGACCGGCGCACGGGUGAGUAACACGUAUGCAACCUGCCCUCUUCAGGGGGACAACCUUCCGAAAGGGAGGCUAAUCCCGCGUAUAUCGGUUUCGGGCAUCCGAGAUCGAGGAAAGAUUCAUCGGAAGAGGAUGGGCAUGCGGCGCAUUAGCUUGACGGCGGGGUAACGGCCCACCGUGGCGACGAUGCGUAGGGGUUCUGAGAGGAAGGUCCCCCACACUGGUACUGAGACACGGACCAGACUCCCACGGGAGGCAGCAGUGAGGAAUAUUGGUCAAUGGGAGAGAUCCUGAACCAGCCAAGCCGCGUGAGGGAAGACGGCCCUAUGGGUUGUAAACCUCUUUUGUCGGAGAACAAAACCCGGGACGUGUCCCGGACUGCGUGUAUCCGAAGAAAAAGCAUCGGCUAACUCCGUG